CUACAAUAUUUAGUAGUAGCUAGUAGUUUGUGCACAUUUGACAGGAUUUUAGAAAAAAUAAAAAUAAAAAUAAUAAUACAAGACGUAGUCAGCUAGACGAUGAACUAUCAAUAUUAUUAAUUAAGUUAUUAUAUGAUUCAGUCACACAUUUAGCAAUAAUUGUUAGUUCUGUUUGUUGAUUCAGGAUUAGCAUCAUCUGAGGUCCUCUGAGGGGUCAGCAUCAUCUCUUCUCAAGUUUUCUGGAUCCAGACUGGAGCUUGUGUAAAUCCUAGUUACGCGAAACAUAGAAACAAAAUACAGACAUCAUUAGCAUAGCUGCUGAUCCAACAAAGUAAAAUUAGUUUAACCCAAGCUAAUGAAUAAAAAUGCACCUUUGAUCAGAUGCAACUACACUCACAAUUAAAAAGAUACAUUAUUCGAAUGCUUGGUGAAAGAGAUGUGUUUUUAAUCUAGAUUUAAACAGAGAGAGUGUGUCUGAACCCCGAACAUUAUCAGGAAGGCUAUUCCAGAGUUUGGGAGCCAAAUGUGAGAAAGCUCUACCUCCUUUAGUGGACUUUGCUAUCCUAGGAACGACCAAAAGUCCAGCGUUUUGUGACCUUAGGGUGCGUGAUGGGUUGUAACGUGGUAGAAGGCUAGUUAGGUACGCUGGAGCUAAAGCAUUUAGGGCCUUAUGAUAAUUUGUAACUGAUACGGAACUUAAUAGGUAGCCAGUGCAGAGACUGUAAAAUUGGGGUAAUAUGAUCAUAUUCUCUUGACCUCGUAAGGACUCUAGCUGUUGCAUUUUGGACUACCUGUAGCUUGUUUAUUGACGAAUCAGGACAACCACCUAGAAGUGCAUUACAAUAGUCCAGUCUAGAGGUCAUGGAUGCAUGAACUAGCUUUUCUGCAUCAGAAACAGAUAACAUGUUUCGUAGCUCGGCAAUGUUUCUAAGAUGGAAGAAUGCAGUUUUUGUAACAUUGGAAAUAUCAUUUUCAAAUGACAAAUUGCUGUCUAAUAUAACACCCAGAUUUCUGACUGUAGAGGAAGUAACAGUACAUCCGUCUAGUUGCAGAUUGUAAUCUACAAGAUUCUGUGUAGUGUUUUUUGGUCCAAUAAUUAGUAUCUCUGUCUUAUCCGAAUUUAAUUGGAGAAAAUUAUUUGUCAUCCAAUCUUUUACAUUUUUAACACACUCUGUUAGCUUAGAUAAUUGGGAAGUUUCAUCUGGUCUCGUUGAGAUAUAUAGCUGAGUAUCAUCAGCAUAACAGUGGAAGCUAAUUCCGUAUUUUCUAAUAAUAUUACCAAGGGGCAACAUGUAUAUUGAAAAUAGAAGGGGACCUAGGACGGAUCCUUGUGGCACUCCAUAUUUUACUGAUGAUAAAUGAGAUGACUCCCCAUUUAAGUAAACAAAAUGGUAGCGAUCGGACAGGUAGGAUCUAAACCAUCUUAGAGCCUGCCCUUGAAUACCUGUAUAGUUUUGUAAUCGAUCUAUGAGUAUGUCAUGAUCCCUCUCCAAGAAAUGUUUAUAGAAAACUGUAAUCAAUAUUAAUUUAAUCCUCUAACCUGAAUCUUUUGGUGAAUUAACUUUAUUAUAUUUUUCUUAAUUUGUUUAACCAGCACUAGUAAUUAAACAUGGGGUUAAUAGACAUAUUUUUGUUUUACAUCUGAAGAGCAAAAACACAAAGAACAUCAGUCCUGUUGGAGUUGAGGAAUUAACAUGGCUUUAUUGUGCCAAAUCAGAAAAGACUGAAAAGCUCCUAGAAUGAACAAAUCAUCAGUGCGUAAUUUCUGGAAUUUGGGCAGAAAAUCACUGAAUAUGAAAGACUGCAUGAAGAGAUACAGUAGAAGAAAAGCUGUUACUGAAAACGUUUGUCUUCACUCACAUGGUCCAGACUAAAGAGAAGCAGGUCUGAGGCCAGAAAUGGAGGAGUCUUUGUUGACAGUGUAUUCAGUGUUCACCAAGUGCAGCGCUGAUGCCUUAAGCUGUGAAGACUGCAUUCCCAAACUACUCUGUGAAAGCACAGAUGUCACACCCAUUAAAGAAACUUCACAAGUGAGAGCCGAUACCUCACAACCAACAACCAGGAAUCAAUGGACAUCUACGCGAGGCUUUUUCUUUUUUUCUUUUGAGGAAAGCACAGAGGACCGUCAGAGACUACAGCCACAUGAGCCAUGGACUGCUCUCACCGUUACCAUCAGGCAGAAAUUAUCACAGAACCAGCACCAGCAGACUGCAAGACAAGUUCCUUCCACAGGCAAUCAGACUGAACUGAACUUGUACCACCACACACAGUAACACCACACACACACACAUGUUUGUUUUUGUGAAAAGUUGGGACAUCCCAUAGGCGUAAUUGUUUUUAUACUGUACAAACUGUAUAUUCUAUCGACCUUCACCAACCCUACACCUAAACCUGACACACACACACAGCCUCAUAUGCACUGCACUCUAUCAGUUACACUGACUGGACUUACUAUUAUUCUGCUCCUUGACAUUCAGUUUGCACUAAUUCAUAGUGUACUGCACUGCAAAGGUAUAUCUACAGUACAUUAUUGAGUGAUUGUUUUUUAUUAUUUUUAUUUUCUGCUCUCUGUACAGUAUAAUAUUGCCAUAUAUAUUAUUUUCUACCUGGAUUGAGCCCUUAUGUAUACUGUGUAUAGUUUAAUACUGUUUAUGUGUUGCAAAUAUAUUCAGGACUUGUCAUGCUGUCAUGCUGCAGAGUUUGCAACAAACCAUUUCACUUCCU